CCAAUCUACACAUGGAAUCAUUUAGGUUGAUGGCAAAUGUGAUCUCAGUCGAUUACAUGGUGGUGAAAGGAGAGGUCUUUAGAGUUUGCUCUUUAGACUCGAGCCCUCCGCCACUGCCAUACUCAUUGGAGCACAUGCCAUCUCAUUCAGUGUCUCUUUAACAAUCCAAUCCACGCAAAAGUGACCUGAAAGGGCUCGGGUCUUGACGCUGAAACCUGCAUGGCAAGAGAUCAAAGCCGUCUCAGAUCAAAUGCAUUCCUCUGUUGCUGCCUCUUCUGCCUCCUCCUCCUCCUUUCCUUGCUUCAACCACAGAUUCAGCUCAAGAUCAACAUUAAUGUCUCGUUCACCAGUAGUAGCAGCAGCAGCAGUAGCAGUAGGCGACUUCUGUCACCUUCCUCGUCUCGAUCCAUGAAGCGACGUCCAAAUAGCCACAACUCGACUUCUGAGUUCGAAGCAAGCAAGCACGAAGUCCCCAGCGGCCCAAACCCAGUCUCUAACAGGUAGCUUCCGCGAUCGCCAUCACCGGCGUCCACCAUCACUUUCACAGUUAGCAUCUUUUGCUCCUCCGUUAAUGCAGUCGUUUGUCUAUUAUGAUUGUAAUUGUCAAUGUUGCUCUUUCCAUCACUUGUAUUAUGGCGAUCAAGACCGAGGAUUUUGUG